rnacentral:rRNA from 1 species
CCUACGGGUGGCAGCAGUGGGGAAUAUUGGACAAUGGGGGCAACCCUGAUCCAGCCAUGCCGCGUGUGUGAAGAAGGCCCUCGGGUUGUAAAGCACUUUCAGUGAGGAAGAACGCCUGGUGGUUAAUACCCAUCAGGAAAGACAUCACUCACAGAAGAAGCACCGGCUAACUCCGUGCCAGCAGCCGCGGUAAUACGGAGGGUGCGAGCGUUAAUCGGAAUUACUGGGCGUAAAGCGCGCGUAGGUGGCUUGAUAAGCCGGUUGUGAAAGCCCCGGGCUCAACCUGGGAACGGCAUCCGGAACUGUCAAGCUGGAGUGCAGGAGAGGAAGGUAGAAUUCCCGGUGUAGCGGUGAAAUGCGUAGAGAUCGGGAGGAAUACCAGUGGCGAAGGCGGCCUUCUGGACUGACACUGACACUGAGGUGCGAAAGCGUGGGUAGCAAACAGGAUUAGAUACCCCAGUAGUC